rnacentral:rRNA from 1 species
AAAUUGAAGAGUUUGAUCAUGGCUCAGAUUGAACGCUGGCGGCAGGCCUAACACAUGCAAGUCGAGCGGCAGCGGGAAAGUAGCUUUCUACUUUUGCCGGCGAGCGGCGGACGGGUGAGUAAUGCCUGGGGAUCUGCCCAGUCGAGGGGGAUAACAGUUGGAAACGACUGCUAAUACCGCAUACGCCCUACGGGGGAAAGGAGGGGACCUUCGGGCCUUUCGCGAUUGGAUGAACCCAGGUGGGAUUAGCUAGUUGGUGGGGUAAUGGCUCACCAAGGCGACGAUCCCUAGCUGGUCUGAGAGGAUGAUCAGCCACACUGGAACUGAGACACGGUCCAGACUCCUACGGGAGGCAGCAGUGGGGAAUAUUGCACAAUGGGG